rnacentral:rRNA from 1 species
GACGUAGGGCGCGAGCGUUGUCCGGAUUUAUUGGGCGUAAAGAGCUCGUAGGCGGCUUGUCGCGUCGAAUGUGAAAACUUGGGGCUCAACUCCAAGCUUGCAUUCGAUACGGGCAGGCUAGAGUUCGGUAGGGGAGACUGGAAUUCCUGGUGUAGCGGUGAAAUGCGCAGAUAUCAGGAGGAACACCGAUGGCGAAGGCAGGUCUCUGGGCCGAUACUGACGCUGAGGAGCGAAAGCGUGGGGAGCGAACAGG